rnacentral:rRNA from 1 species
GACGAACGCUGGCGGCGUGCCUAAUACAUGCAAGUAGAACGCUGAAGGAGGAGCUUGCUUCUCUGGAUGAGUUGCGAACGGGUGAGUAACGCGUAGGUAACCUGCCUGGUAGCGGGGGAUAACUAUUGGAAACGAUAGCUAAUACCGCAUAAGAGUAGAUGUUGCAUGACAUUUGCUUAAAAGGUGCAAUUGCAUCACUACCAGAUGGACCUGCGUUGUAUUAGCUAGUUGGUGAGGUAACGGCUCACCAAGGCGACGAUACAUAGCCGACCUGAGAGGGUGAUCCGCCACACUGGGACUGAGACACGGCCCAGACUCCUACGGGAGGCAGCAGUAGGGAAUCUUCGGCAAUGGACGGAAGUCUGACCGAGCAACGCCGCGUGAGUGAAGAAGGUUUUCGGAUCGUAAAGCUCUGUUGUAAGAGAAGAACGAGUGUGAGAGUGGAAAGUUCACACUGUGACGGUAUCUUACCAGAAAGGGACGGCUAACUACGUG